UUCCUUGGCAUUGGGUUCAGCUGGGCUCAGAUCUCUCACAGAUAAAGGGACAGUUCUGCUAAGCUGGCAACCCUGCUAAGACACCCUGAUCCCUGGCCUCAUAUCCACGGUGACCAGCUGGGGUCAAGGUGCCAGUGGAACCUGCCUCCCAGCGCAAAUAUACCAUCCACUGUCCCCAACUCAGGGGGAAACAGCUUCAGCUCACCAUGACGUCUGUGCAGACGCAUCUUCCCUUCCUGGGCCUCAAUUUCCUCAUCUGUAAAAGGGAUUCUUGGGCCAAGGAGACAGCACAGUGGAUCACACCUGAUGAUGCUCAGGGGUAGCCCCUGGCUCUGCACUCAGGAAUUACUCCUGGCGGUGUUUGGGGACCACAUGAGAAGCCGAGUAUUGAAGCCAGGACAGCCAGACAGCCCCUCUCUUCUCUUUUGAACACACACUUCUCCCUU